AGUGGCGGACGGGUGAGUAACGCGUGGGUAACCUGCCUUAUACUGGGGGAUAACAGCCAGAAAUGACUGCUAAUACCGCAUAAGCGCACAGAACCGCAUGGUUCGGUGUGAAAAACUCCGGUGGUAUAAGAUGGACCCGCGUUGGAUUAGCUAGUUGGCAGGGCAGCGGCCUACCAAGGCGACGAUCCAUAGCCGGCCUGAGAGGGCGACCGGCCACAUUGGGACUGAGACACGGCCCAGACUCCUACGGGAGGCAGCAGUGGGGAAUAUUGCACAAUGGGGGAAACCCUGAUGCAGCGACGCCGCGUGAGCGAUGAAGUAUUUCGGUAUGUAAAGCUCUAUCAGCAGGGAAGAUAAUGACGGUACCUGACUAAGAAGCUCCGGCUAAAUACGUGCCAGCAGCCGCGGUAAUACGUAUGGAGCAAGCGUUAUCCGGAUUUACUGGGUGUAAAGGGAGCGUAGGCGGUCCUGCAAGUCUGAUGUGAAAGGCCGGGGCUCAACCCCGGGACUGCAUUGGAAACUGUA
rnacentral:rRNA from 1 species